UACAGAGGGUGCGAGCGUUGUUCGGAAUUACUGGGCGUAAAGCGCGCGCAGGCGGCUCUUUAAGUCUGACGUGGAAAUGCCGGGGCUCAACCCCGUGCCCGCCGCGGAUACUGGAGGGCUGGAGACACGUAGAGGCAAGCGGAAUUCCGGGUGUAGCGGUGGAAUGCGUAGAGAUCCGGAAGAACACCGGAGGCGAAGGCGGCUUGCUGGGCGUAGUCUGACGCUGAGGCGCGAAAGCGUGGGGAGCAAACAGG
rnacentral:rRNA from 1 species